rnacentral:rRNA from 1 species
GACGAACGCUGGCGGCGUGCUUAACACAUGCAAGUCGAACGGAAAGGCCCUGCUUUUGUGGGGUGCUCGAGUGGCGAACGGGUGAGUAACACGUGAGUAACCUGCCCUUGACUUUGGGAUAACUUCAGGAAACUGGGGCUAAUACCGGAUAGGAGCUCCUGCUGCAUGGUGGGGGUUGGAAAGUUUCGGCGGUUGGGGAUGGACUCGCGGCUUAUCAGCUUGUUGGUGGGGUAGUGGCUUACCAAGGCUUUGACGGGUAGCCGGCCUGAGAGGGUGACCGGCAACAUUGGGACUGAGAUACGGCCCAGACUCCUACGGGAGGAAGCAGUGGGGAAUAUUGCACAAUGGGCGGAGGCCUGAUGCAGCAACGCCGCGUGCGGGAUGACGGCCUUCGGGUUGUAAACCGCUUUCGCCUGUGACGAAGCGUGAGGGACGGUAAUGGGUAAAGAAGCACCGGCAAACUACGU